rnacentral:misc_RNA from 1 species
GAAAUGCGAUAAGUAAUGUGAAUUGCAGAAUUCAGUGAAUCAUCGAAUCUUUGAACGCACAUUGCGCCCGCCAGUAUUCUGGCGGGCAUGCCUGUUCGAGCGUCAUUACAACCCUCAGGCCCCCGGGCCUGGCGUUGGGGAUCGGCGGAAGCCCCCUGCGGGCACAACGCCGUCCCCAAAUACAGUGGCGGUCCCGCCGCAGCUUCCAUUGCGUAGUAGCUAACACCUCGCAACUGGAGAGCGGCGCGGCCACGCCGUAAAACACCCAACUUCUGAAUGUUGACCUCGAAUCAGGUAGGAAUACCCGCUGAACUUAAGC